GAUGAACGCUAGCGGGAGGCCUAAUACAUGCAAGUCGAGCGGUAGAGUGACUUCGGUUGCUUGAGAGCGGCGAACGGGUGAGUAACGCGUACACAAUCUACCUUUAAGAGGGGAAUAGCCCUGGGAAACUGGGAUUAAUGCCCCAUGGCAUCACGAGACGGCAUCGUUUUGUGAUUAAAGCUGAGGUGCUUAGAGAUGAGUGUGCGUCUGAUUAGCUAGUUGGUGCGGUAACGGCGCACCAAGGCGACGAUCAGUAGGGGGCGUGAGAGCGUGGACCCCCACACGGGUACUGAGACACGGACCCGACUCCUACGGGAGGCAGCAGUAAGGAAUAUUGGUCAAUGGAGGAAACUCUGAACCAGCCAUCCCGCGUGCAGGAAGAAUGCCCUAUGGGUUGUAAACUGCUUUUAUCUGGGAAGAAAGUCGGGAUUUAUCCUGAUCUGACGGUACCAGAGGAAUAAGCACCGGCUAACUCCGUGCCAGCAGCCGCGGUAAAG
rnacentral:rRNA from 1 species